rnacentral:rRNA from 1 species
CCUACGGGUGGCAGCAGUCGGGAAUAUUGCGCAAUGGAGGAAACUCUGAUGCAGCGACGCCGCGUGCAGGAUGAAGGUUUUCGGAUUGUAAACUUCUUUAGUCAGGGACGAAACAAGUCACUAUCUGUAAAAUAUGCUCCGGCUAACUACGUGCGCGCAGCCGCGCUAAUACGUAGGGAGCAAGCGUUAUCCGGGUUUAUUGGGUGUAAAGGGUGCGUAGACGGGAAGUUAAGUUAGAUGUGAAAUCAAUCGGCUAAACUGAGGAACUGCAACCAAAACUACAUUCCUUGAGUGCUGGAGAGGCAAGUGGAAUUCCCAGUGUAGCGGUGAAAUGCGUAGAUAUUGGGAGGAACACCAGUGGCGAAGGCGACUUUCUGGACAGUAACUGACGCUGAGGCGCGAAAGUGUGGGGAGCAAACAGGAUUAGAUACCCCUGUAGUC